GCCAGGAGUGGUGGCGCACGCCUGUAAUCCCAGUGACUAGGGAGGUUGAGGCAGGAGGAUCAAGAGCCUCAGGAAUUUAGUGAGGUGCUAAGUAACUCAAUGAGACCCCAUCUCUA
rnacentral:sRNA from 1 species